UCAUAAUCCAUUCCUCCAAAGUUACUAACCCUAAAUUACAAAAGAAGGAGGAGAGAUAUUGGAGCCUACAGUCGCCCACCGUACGGUGACCUUCAACCAUCAACCGACUAUCCAUCUUCUUCGGUGUAAUCGACGGAUUAACAAGGACGCAUCAACAUACACAUGCACUAACUCUUGAUAAUGGCGCAAAUGGGGUGACCGAGCUAGGGCAGAAAGGAUGGUCCACUAUACCAUGGAGAAGCUUUUGGUGGGGAUCCUAUCUCACCAUAGAAAACACAGGAAGAAGGCAUAUUUUGGGAGGGGGUGGGUCUUUGUUUUCCAUAGCCAACAGGUUUUGUUUUCCAAUAGGAUUGUAAACGGAGAGAUGUAGUUUGUUAUUUAGAACAGAAGAAAGAUGAUGCAAGGAAUCGUUGACAUAGGUCAUGUUGUUAACAGGGCUAUGUGUCUUAAGCUAACGAUUAUAGGCCUGAAGAAGUCUAUUAUUAAGCUAACUAUGAUACUUCAGGUGUUCUGUAAUGAAAAUAGAGUUGUAUAAAAAUGGCCAUUCGUUUAUCACACAAAAAAGAGACCAAUUGCCAUAUGAAAAC